GAUCAUGGCUCAGAUUGAACGCUGGCGGCAGGCUUAACACAUGCAAGUCGAGCGGGGAAAUGUAGCUUGCUACAUUACCUAGCGGCGGACGGGUGAGUAAUGCUUAGGAAUCUGCCUAUUAGUGGGGGACAACAUCUCGAAAGGGAUGCUAAUACCGCAUACGUCCUACGGGAGAAAGCAGGGGACCUUCGGGCCUUGCGCUAAUAGAUGAGCCUAAGUCGGGUUAGCUAGUUGGUGGGGUAAAGGCCUACCAAGGCGACGAUCUGUAGCGGGUCUGAGAGGAUGAUCCGCCACACUGGGACUGAGACACGGCCCAGACUCCUACGGGAGGCAGCAGUGGGGAAUAUUGGACAAUGGGGGGAACCCUGAUCCAGCCAUGCCGCGUGUGUGAAGAAGGCCUUUUGGUUGUAAAGCACUUUAAGCGAGGAGGAGGCUACCGAGAUUAAUACUCUUGGGUAGUGGACGUUACUCGCAGAAUAAGCACCGGCUAACUCUGUGCCAGCCGCCGC
rnacentral:rRNA from 1 species